UGCAAGGGCCCAAUGGGAACAGCCCACUAAGCCCAAGCAAGCCUAUUUAUGAAAUUCUAUUUCAUCAUUCCCACCAUCAUUUCUAACCACAAUCUUUAUUCUCAACUAUACAUAUUUCGAUAAUAAACAAGGCAACCAAAUAUUUAUAUUGGUACUAACCCAAAAUACUAUCAUUCAUUGCCAUUUCAUAAUGGCAUCAUCAUAUCACAUAUACAUCCAUUGUUUGUAGCCUAAAU
rnacentral:lncRNA from 1 species